rnacentral:rRNA from 1 species
UACAUGUGGGGCAAGCGUUGUUCGGAAUUACUGGGCAUAAAGGGUGCGUAGGCGGCUUGUUAAGUCAGGGGGUGAAAGUUUUUCGGCCCAACCGGAAAAUUGCCUUUGAUACUGGCGAGCUGGAGUGCGUGAGGGGUGACCGGAACGAGUGGUGUAGCGGUGAAAUGCGUAGAUAUCACUCGGAAGGCCAACGGCGAAGGCAGGUCACUGGUGCGCAACUGACGCUGAGGCACGAAAGCGUGGGGAGCAAACAGG